GAUGAAGAACGUAGCAAAAUGCGAUAAGUAAUGUGAAUUGCAGAAUUCAGUGAAUCAUCGAAUCUUUGAACGCACAUUGCGCCCGCCAGUAUUCUGGCGGGCAUGCCUGUUCGAGCGCCAUUUCAACCCUCAAGCACAGCUUGGUGUUGGGACUCGCGUUAAUUCGCGUUCCUCAAAUUGAUUGGCGGUCACGUCGAGCUUCCAUAGCGUAGUAGUAAAACCCUCGUUACUGGUAAUCGUCGCGGCCACGCCGUUAAACCCCAACUUCUGAAUGUUGACCUCGGAUCAGGUAGGAAUACCCGCUGAACUUAAGCAUAUCAAUAAGCGGAGGA
rnacentral:misc_RNA from 1 species